CACCACGAACGGGUGGAGCCUGUCGGUUUAAUUGGAUUCACGACCGGAAAGCGUUACCGGGGCGACAGCAAUAUGAAGGUCAGGCUGAAGACCUUACCGGAUUCGCUGAGAGGUGGUGCAUGGCCGUCGUCAGUUCGUACUGUGAAGCAUCCUGUUAAGUCAGGCAACGAGCGAGACCCACGCCCACAGUUGCCAGCGAUCCCUCCGGGGAGGCGGGUACUCUGUGGGGACCGCCGCUGCUAAAGCGGAGGAAGGAAUGGGCAACGGUAGGUCAGUAUGCCCCGAAUCCCCCGGGCUACACGCGGGCUACAAUGGUCGGCACAAUGGGUACCGACCCCGAGAGGGGUAGGCAAUCUCCUAAAGCCGAUCGUAGUUCGGAUUGAGGGCUGAAACUCGCCCUCAUGAAGCUGGAAUCCGUAGUAAUCGCGUUUCAACAGAACGCGGUGAAUACGUCCCUGCUCCUU
rnacentral:rRNA from 1 species